rnacentral:rRNA from 1 species
GGCUUGAGUCUUGUAGAGGGGGGUAGAAUUCCAGGUGUAGCGGUGAAAUGCGUAGAGAUCUGGAGGAAUACCGGUGGCGAAGGCGGCCCCCUGGACAAAGACUGACGCUCAGGUGCGAAAGCGUGGGGAGCAAACAGGAUUAGAUACCCUGGUAGUCCACGCCGUAAACGAUGUCUACUUGGAGGUUGUGCCCUUGAGGCGUGGCUUCCGGAGCUAACGCGUUAAGUAGACCGCCUGGGGAGUACGGCCGCAAGGUUAAAACUCAAAUGAAUUGACGGGGGCCCGCACAAGCGGUGGAGCAUGUGGUUUAAUUCGAUGCAACGCGAAGAACCUUACCUGGUCUUGACAUCCACAGAACUUUCCAGAGAUGGAUUGGUGCCUUCGGGAACUGUGAGACAGGUGCUGCAUGGCUGUCGUCAGCUCGUGUUGUGAAAUGUUGGGUUAAGUCCCGCAACGAGCGCAACCCUUAUCCUUUGUUGCCAGCGAUUAGG